rnacentral:rRNA from 1 species
UGAGAGAACUCGGGUGAAGGAACUAGGCAAAAUGGUGCCGUAACUUCGGGAGAAGGCACGCUGAUAUGUAGGUGAAGCCCCUGCGGGCGGAGCUGAAAUCAGUCGAAGAUACCAGCUGGCUGCAACUGUUUAUUAAAAACACAGCACUGUGCAAACACGAAAGUGUGCCGCUGACCUACGUCUACAGCGAUCAGGACAGCUACGAUCCGCUGGCACGUAUUGACGGCGUUGAUGCCCCGGAGAUCUUCUGGUUCCACUGCCAGCCCAACGGCACGCCGGAGCGGAUGACGGAUAGCGAAGGACAGGUGCGCUGGGAAGGGGU